rnacentral:misc_RNA from 1 species
CCGAGUGCGGGCCCUCGUGGCCCAACCUCCCACCCUUGUCUCUAUACACCUGUUGCUUUGGCGGGCCCACCGGGGCCACUUGGUCGCCGGGGGACAUCUGUCCCCGGGCCCGCGCCCGCCGAAGCGCUCUGUGAACCCUGAUGAAGAUGGGCUGUCUGAGUACUAUGAAAAUUGUCA